CCUACGGGAGGCAGCAGUGAGGCAUAUUGGUCAAUGGACGAGAGUCUGAACCAGCCAAGUAGCGUGAAGGAUGACUGCCCUAUGGGUUGUAAACUUCUUUUAUAUGGGAAUAAAAUGUUCCACGUGUGGGAUUUUGUAUGUACCAUAUGAAUAAGGAUCGGCUAACUCCGUGCCAGCCGCCGCGGUAAUACGGAGGAUCCGAGCGUUAUCCGGAUUUAUUGGGUUUAAAGGGAGCGUAGGUGGAUUGUUAAGUCAGUUGUGAAAGUUUGCGGCUCAACCGUAAAAUUGCAGUUGAAACUGGCAGUCUUGAGUACAGUAGAGGUGAGCGGAAUUCGUGGUGUAGCGGUGAAAUGCUUAGAUAUCACGAAGAACUCCGAUUGCGAAGGCAGCUCACUGGACUGCAACUGACACUGAGGCUCGAAAGUGUGGGUAUCAAACAGGAUUAGAUACCCUAGUAGUC
rnacentral:rRNA from 1 species